rnacentral:lncRNA from 10 species
CUGAACAUCUACUUAGUGGUUAUAAAAUAUUUGCUGCUGAAAGCCACAGAGCAUUGAUAAACAGAUCCUGGACAGCUGAGUUAUUGCAAUCUACUUAACAUGAGGAGAACAAAUUGUGAGUCAAAUGUUCCUGUUUAAUAACCUUACUCAGGGCAGAGAGAGCUGCUCAAGGUUGGCGUUAACUCUGCAUGCGCUGCGCCAGCCAGGGUCCCAGAAAGGGCUGUGCAGACGUUGAAGCAAUUCAGAUUAUGCUUUACUUUAACACAUGCAGAAAAGGAUGGAUUCAUCUCAUUCAUGGGAAACAGAUGAGGAAUACAUUUUCUGUGAAUGCUAUUUCAAAAAGAGCACAAAGGAAAGGCCAUGCGAGGACACAGGGAGAAGACAGGCCCCUACCAGUCAGGAAGGGAGCCCUCACCAGAAACUGAGCUGGCCAGCACAAUGGUCUUGGACUUGUAGCUCCAGAACUGUGAGGAAAUAAAUUUCUGUUGUUGAAGCCACCCAGUCUGUGAUUUUUUUUAUGGCAGUACUAGCAGAUUGAUAUACCUUCCAUCUAGUUGCCUGAAAA